UAUGUGAUCGUCUCUCGCAUAUCAAUAAGCGGAGGAAAAGAAACUAACAAGGAUUCCCCUAGUAACGGCGAGUGAAGCGGGAAGAGCUCAAAUUUGAAAUCUUAAAGGGUUUCCCUUUACGAAUUGUAGUUUAAAGAAGUGUUUUCUGUUGAGGUUUUGGUAAAAGUUCUUUGGAAUAGGACAUCAUAGAGGGUGAGAAUCCCGUAUUUGACCUUUACUUUCAACUUUGUGAUACACUUUCAAGGAGUCGGAUUGUUUGGGAAUGCAGUCCAAAAUGGGUGGUAAAUUUCAUCUAAAGCUAAAUAUUGGCGAGAGACCGAUAGCAAACAAGUACCGUGAGGGAAAGAUGAAAAGAACUUUGAAAAGAGAGUUAAACAGUACGUGAAAUUGUCAAAAGGGAAGCGUUUGACACCAGUGUUGUUUUUCUGAAAAUCAAUUAAAGAACUGUUUAUGCUAAGUUGUUUAGACUUUAUCAGCUAACUGUUUAGUUUUGAGCUUUUCUUUAAUGCACUUUUCAGUUAACAAGUCAACAUCAAUUUCUUUUGCUGUAAAAAAGCUUGAGGAAGGUGGCUUGAGAUUCGUCUUAAGUGUUUAUAGCCUCUUGCCUAUGCAGUCGGAGAGAUUGAGGUCUGCAGCGUAGAUCCUUCGGGGCUAAAUGCAUUUGUGCUAAGUUAUAGCAUUUUAUAGACAACUUGCUGACUAUGAUUUGUCUUGUAGCUUACUCGCUUAUGUUAUUUUACCUACGCUUAGGAUGUUGACGCGCGUGUGUGCGUG
rnacentral:rRNA from 1 species